ACAUAGAAAGAGGUGCGCACAGCUGGGACAGUGACCGCUUUUAGAUACUCUGUCCACACUACGUUGUCAGCUCCGCUUGAUAAGUGCGCUCGGCGCUAUUUAAUUACAUGCAAACGGACGCAGCGGACCAAAGAAGACCAUGAGCUCCAGUUACACUCUCAUUUCAAUUUAAGUUGUUUUUUCCUAUUAACAAGAGGAAGCCUGUAACGAGGUCAGAUCUACAGUUAGAGGAGGGCAGCGACACUUCUCAGCCCUUCUGCGUGAUAGCGCAGUGUUGAGAGAUGAUGGCCACGCAUUGCCCGUGCAGAUGUAGCGGGGCAGCCUGUUGCUGGGAACGGACUGUAGCGGUUCGAGGAGCUGCUCCAGCGCCCAGACGCCCCGCAGUGGCGAGUCGCCGACUCAGCCAAGGACAAAUUCAAGCUCGAGUGCGCCAGGGGAAGCGCGUCUGUCGUCGACUUAAUCAGACAAAUGCUCACAAGGAGGAUUUAUGAAACUUUAGAAAAUAAGCUGUAGGCCUAAACUCAGAUGGGACAUCCGCAGCGAAAAUAAUGUGUAAUAUGAACAGCCUAUAGAGGCAAGAGUUAUGGGGUGAAAUUUCACUGAUGUGGAUGAUUUUUAAAUAACAGUAAUAAUAUUGAAGACAUACUAUAAACUUUAAGGACUAAAAUCUUUGCCCAUCUUUUACAUGUGUAAAUGUAAAAAUGAGUGAGAUAUUAAAUAAAGCAGAUACGAUUUUCAAAGGGAGAGAGCAGGUGGAGGAAGUAGAAAAAGUAGUUCCAGUGAAAAGAACAAGCACAUUCAAGUUUAAAUAAGUGGGAUUUAAAAUGUAAAUCUAGAAAAUAACAUUUAUUAAAAUAGGUCUGAACAAUAAAUGUGAUCAUUACAAAGAGGUAAGUAAAGUUUAUAGCUACUUUUUCUGUUGUUUCAUUUUUACAUUUUCCACAUCUCUAAUAUCACUGUCAGCAAAUAGCUAAUAUAAAACUAUUGAUAAAAAUUAGUACAUUCAGAUAAAACCUUCCCUGGUGCAUCAAUAUCUCUGUUAUAAAGUCAAGAAAAUCAAGGCAUUUCACUCUAAAUUCCAAAAAUGUCUACUUUGUGUGAGUGCAACAGGUGCUGUGUCCCUUUCAGAAAACAGGAGGGGAGAAAAAAAAGGAGUGGAAAGACAAGAGAAGGGAGGAAAGGGCGGGACAUGGGACCACCUGCCACUGGUGAGGCAGGAACACAGGCAACAGUGACAGCUCUCCAAUGGAUUUGCACACCACUGCAGGCCUCGAGGCCCUGUGAUGAAGAGGGAGGGCGGGGAGAGUGGCAGAUCCAAAGAACGGAGCUUCAGGAGAGAGAGAUGAAUUGCCUACCGCAAGAAACAAGACGAUUAAUUAUGCAAGUCACACGGUGACUUUUUAACAUUUGUGGCAGAAGUACACGCUGUGUGGUAAUUGGUAAUUUAAAACAACAUAUAUGAUGCAGUAAUGGGGUCAUCAUUCACCCACACACAUUCUGCUCUGCUUACGCACAACACAAAGCACUUUUAAACCCUUUAAUCAUUCAGACUGCUGCCAUGAUAUUUUUGAAAUAAAGAAAGUGUCCUUGCCCAAAAAAAAGAAAGGACAAAGUUUGUAAUUUGGUCAGCUAAAAAAAGUGUCUGUCUUUGC